rnacentral:rRNA from 1 species
CAUUACUGAGUCAUCUCGAUCCCGAGAUCCUCUCCACACUUGCGUUGCUUCAAUGUUGCUCCGGCAGAGCGCAAUCCGAUUGCUGCGAGCUCCCACGGAGUGAGCAAGUCUUUGCCGGGGGCCUUUACUCAUCAACUGCAAUCAGUCAGCGUUUACCCUCCAAUUGAGAACAAAAAACUUUCAACGACGGAUCUCUUGGUUCUGACAUCGAUGAAGAACGCAGCGAAAUGCGAUAAGUAGUGUGAAUUGCAGACUUGUGAAUCAUCGAAUCUUUGAACGCACAUUGCGCCCCUUGGUAUUCCGAGAGGCACGCCUGUUCGAGCGCCGUUUAACACCUAAGCCAUUGGCUUGCGUUGGCAUCGGUCGUCGCCACGACCGAGCUCAAACUCUGCGAAGCGUCUCCGUCGAGCAAGCACGUAGCGACUUACGAGCGACCUCCGGCGGGGACUGGCUCGUCCAACACCGAGUUUGGCCUCGAAUCAGGCGGGAUUACCC